CGACCGGCGCACGGGUGAGUAACACGUAUGGAACCUGCCCGCAGCAGGGGGAUAAGCGGAAGAAAUUCCGUCUAAUACCGCGUAACAACGUUGGGAGGCAUNUCCCGAUGUUUAAAGAUUUAUCGGCUGCGGAUGGCCAUGCGGCGCAUUAGCUAGUCGGCGGGGUAACGGCCCACCGAGGCGACGAUGCGUAGGGGUUCUGAGAGGAAGGUCCCCCACACUGGUACUGAGACACGGACCAGACUCCUACGGAAGGCAGCAG
rnacentral:rRNA from 1 species